AUCGGUGACAGGUGGUGCAUGGUUGUCGUCAGCUCGUGUCGUGAGAUGUUGGGUUAAGUCCCGCAACGAGCGCAACCCCUAUUGUUAGUUGCCAUCAUUCAGUUGGGCACUCUAGCGAGACUGCCGGUAAUAAACCGGAGGAAGGUGGGGAUGACGUCAAAUCAUCAUGCCCCUUAUGACCUGGGCUACACACGUGCUACAAUGGUUGGUACAACGAGUUGCGAGUCGGUGACGGCGAGCUAAUCUCUUAAAGCCAAUCUCAGUUCGGAUUGUAGGCUGCAACUCGCCUACAUGAAGUCGGAAUCGCUAGUAAUCGCGGAUCAGCACGCCGCGGUGAAUACGUUCCCGGGUCUU
rnacentral:rRNA from 1 species